GUCCACACGGUAAACGAUGAAUACUCGCUGUUGGCGAUAUACAGUCAGCGGCCAAGCGAAAGCAUUAAGUAUUCCACCUGGGGAGUACGCCGGCAACGGUGAAAACUCAAAAGGAAUUGACGGGGGGCCCCGCACAAGCGGAGGAACAUGUGGUUUAAUUCGAUGAUACGCGAGGAACCUUACCCGGGCUUAAAAUUGCACUGGACAGGCUCAGAGAUGGGCUCUUCUUCGGACCAGUGUGAAGGUGCUGCAUGGUUGUCGU
rnacentral:rRNA from 1 species